AUUGAACGCUGGCGGCGUGCUUAACACAUGCAAGUCGAGCGGUAACAGGCGUAGCAAUACGUGCUGACGAGCGGCGAACGGGUGAGUAAUGCUUCGGAAUCUUCCUCGUAGUGGGGAAUAACCUGGGGAAACUCAGGCUAAUACCGCAUACGAACUACGGUUGAAAGCAGGGGAUCGCAAGACCUUGCGCUAUGAAAUGAGCCGAAGUCGGAUUAGCUAGUUGGUGGGGUAAUGGCCUACCAAGGCGACGACCCGUAGCUGGUCUGAGAGGACGACCAGCCACACUGGGACUGAGACACGGCCCAGACUCCUACGGGAGGCAGCAGUGGGGAAUAUUGGACAAUGGGGGCAACCCUGAUCCAGCGACGCCGCGUGUGUGAAGAAGGCCUGCGGGUUGUAAAGCACUUUUAGUGGGGAUGAAAAGCCAAGGGCUAAUACCCUUUGGUCUUGACCUAACCCAAAGAAAAAGCACCGGCUAACUCUGUGCCAGCCGCCGCGGUAAAAC
rnacentral:rRNA from 1 species